AUUUUGCAUCGUUUACUUUCAGAAAAAAGUAUGAGCGGGUAAAAGCAACCGCUGGUAACGACAAAGUUGGUGACUAUCGACAGCGUCACUGGUUUCCUGUAUCCGACACGUGGGCACAAUAUUGUUGACAGGUGUAUCAUGAAGAAAGUGAGACCAACAAUCUUUUGGAAAGAUUUUUCCACACUUUGAAAUAUCAAUUUUUGGAAGAAAAAGCAAAGAUGAGAUUAGAAAUGUUAGUUUGUCUGCUAACUCUCAAUAAGUUGAGAAAUAUUACAAGCAUUUAACUGAACUUCACAAGGCUGGACGUAUAACAAGUUCACAAGAAAAGCAGGACAUUUUCAGUAGAGUGGAGAAAAAGAUGAUCGUGAACCAGGAAAAUAACACAAUGAUAAUGUCAUUUAUAACAUUUGUGAUUUGCAAACCUAUUGCAUUUUCCACAACUCUCCUGUCAAGGGAAAACAUUUCUUUGGAUCAGCUCAGAAAGUCAGAAUGUAAUUUUUUAAUAGAAAGAAGAAAGUAUAUUCAGGAAGGAUCAACACUUAUAUCAUUAACAGAGAUGAUGAAAUGAGCAUUGUCCAUAAGAGUAAGUGCUCUUGUAGGACAAACCGUUUUGGAGAGACAUGUGUUUGUAUUAUGAUUGCCAUUGCUCUAAAAAAAACUCUACCAGCAAACCAACAAAACAUACAGCAGGUACACUUCAAGCUAUAGAUGAAAUAAAAAUGUCCAAAUCAGCUAUUCAGUUUCAAGAUACUUUUGAAAUUGAAGAAGAAUUAGACGUUGUUACACCAACUGUCCUAUCUACCCAGAAUUUGGUUCAGGAUUUAUAUACAUGGGUAAAUUGCUUAUAACAAAGCAUUACAUAACGCACUAAAAUAAAAAGCGCAUGCAAUUGUCUUUUCAAACUUUGAAACAAAAAGCAGAAAAAAGAACAUUGUUCCCAUACGGUUAAACUGAGGGAAAACAAAAAUAUUCAUUCAAGCAUUUCUUCUUAUAGAAGGGGAAAAAAGAAUUACAAAAUAAAAAGAUGAACACUUUGAACUGUAGGAAGCUUCCUCAAAAGUAUUGCUAAAAACUGUGUAGUAAACUAUAUUGUAAUAAAAUGAUUACAUUUUGGGGCACAUUUACCUAGGGUCGAAU